CCUACGGGAUGCAGCAGUGGGGAAUAUUGCACAAUGGGCGCAAGCCUGAUGCAGCCAUGCCGCGUGUAUGAAGAAGGCCUUCGGGUUGUAAAGUACUUUCAGCGGGGAGGAAGGCGGUGAGGUUAAUAACCUCACCGAUUGACGUUACCCGCAGAAGAAGCACCGGCUAACUCCGUGCCAGCAGCCGCGGUAAUACGGAGGGUGCAAGCGUUAAUCGGAGUUACUGGGCGUAAAGCGCACGCAGGCGGUCUGUCAAGUCGGAUGUGAAAUCCCCGGGCUCAACCAGGGAACUGCAUUCAAAACUGGCAGGCUAGAGUCUUGUAGAGGGGGGUAGAAUUCCAGGUGUAGCGGUGAGAUGCGUAGAGAUCUGGAGGAAUACCGGUGGCGAAGGCGGCCCCCUGGACAAAGACUGACGCUCAGGUGCGAAAGCGUGGGGAGCAAACAGGAUUAGAUACCCGUGUAGUC
rnacentral:rRNA from 1 species